UGCCAGCAGCCGCGGUAAUACGAAGGUGGCGAAUGUUGCUCGGAUUCACUGGGCGUAAAGCGUCGGUAGGUGGUUAUGUAAGUCAGAGGUGAAAGCCCCGCGCUCAACGUGGGAAUUGCCUUUGAAACUACACAACUAGAAGAUAUGAGAGGAUGGCGGAAUGACUGGUGUAGAGGUAAAAUUCAUAGAUAUCAGUCGGAACACCCAAGGCGAAGGCAGCUAUCUGGCAUAUUCUUGACACUGAGCGACGACAGCGUGGGGAGCAAACAGGAUUANGAUACCCUGGUAGKCCAAGGGC
rnacentral:rRNA from 1 species